GACGAACGCUGGCGGCGUGCUUAACACAUGCAAGUCGAACGGUAAGGCCCUUCGGGGUACACGAGUGGCGAACGGGUGAGUAACACGUGGGUGAUCUGCCCUGCACUUCGGGAUAAGCCUGGGAAACUGGGUCUAAUACCGGAUAGGACUCCUGGCUUCAUGGUUGGGGGUGGAAAGCUUUUGCGGUGUGGGAUGGGCCCGCGGCCUAUCGGCUUGUUGGUGGGGUAAUGGCCUACCAAGGCGACGACGGGUAGCCGGCCUGAGAGGGUGACCGGUCACACUGGGACUGAGCUACGGCCCAGACUCCUACGGGAGGCAGCAGUGGGGAAUAUUGCACAAUGGGCGCAAGCCUGAUGCAGCGACGCCGCGUGAGGGAUGACGGCCUUCGGGUUGUAAACCUCUUUCAGCUAUGACGAAGCGCAAGUGACGGUAGUAGCAGAAGAAGGACCGGCCAACUACGUGCCAGCCGCCGCGGUAA
rnacentral:rRNA from 1 species